CACAGGGUGUAGUGGUUUGAGUGUUGGACUAUAACUCUUGAGACCAGGGUUCAAAUCCCUGCUCAGCCA
rnacentral:tRNA from 1 species